AUGUGAAAGGGUGAUGCUCGCGAUGAUUGGUUUCGCUUUCUGAUGACCCUUCACAGUAGUCGGGUUUAUGGAUUUUCAAACAUCAAUCAAUUGGUUCCAGAUGAAUCCCAUCGGAAGCCUCCCUGUUUUCCAAAACGGGUUUCACACCAUUUACAAGACUAUUGAUAUAAUUGAGUAUAUUCCCUUUGAGUUUUCUUCGUUAUUCUGUCAUCAUUGCUUUCAAUAGAUGUUUAUAAUUUCAUAAACUUCAUUUUAAAUGCUUCUAUUAGAAAACGACGGGUAUGUUAAUGAAUAUUCAUACUAUGGUAUUGUUUGAUCUAUCUCAUGCUAUUCGUUCUAAUCUUAUAUGUAUGAAAACCCAAACCAAACCAAGCAGGCACGAUGACGACGAUGAGGACGAAUAUAAUGAUGAAGAAUCUGAGGAGGAUAGGACGAGACAGAAAAGAAGGUAUUAUCUUGAUUAUUUGAAUUGACAAAAUCUUAGUUUAAUUUACUUAUAUUUAUUUUAUAAAUUUGAACAAUCACUUUUUAUACUUUUUAUACUAUAAAUUAGUCUAUCCUUUUCAAAUCAGCACGACUUGAAUCAACAGGGAGUAUCAAACAGAAUCGGUGUUCGUCGGAAAAAUGGUUAACACAAAGUUUCACCAAUACCAGGUCGUCGGAAGGGGUCUUCCCACCAAAACCGAUGAGCACCCGGAGAUUUACUGCAUGAAGCUUUGGGCUACCAAUGAGGUUCAUGCCAAAUCCAAAUUUUCCAAACCGAUGAGAAGGUACUGAAGCAGGAAAAUGUUCAGUAUAUCCUUGCUCCUUAUGAGUUUCGUACCAAAAUCGGCAAGGGAAAAUAUGCGGACUACGACUCGAGUCGGUUUUGUGUUGGAGCUGGUAUGUUGGCAUUGAUAUGGAAUAGGAGCAAUUUUGGCUUUGUGGAAAUGUUAUGGCAUGUCACGAACUCGCCUUAGCAAUAUGGAUGAUUCACGCCCUGCUGAAGUGAUGAAUUAGGUCCACCGGUUUACGUAGAUUCGUUGGUGAAAAAGGCAUACGACAAUUGGGAGCAGGUUGUAUAAUACAAUGGUAAAUCACUUAUAAAUGUUGAGCAAAACAACAAUUUUGUUCAACCUGAAAAUGAACUUCAUGUUGAGUCAAUUGAUUUUUCAACAUAGGUGGUCAUGCUUCCAUGAAUGCUGAGGAUGGUUAUUCAUUCCCAUCAUUCAUGCCAUCUCCUAUGCCGAACUUCGAUGAGGACCACGCUGUUCUUGGAAAAGCUGUUGUGGGAUGGCUGGAGAUCAAGGUAACAAUGAGGUGGGGCUUCUUUCUGAAAAGGUAGCAGCUGAGAAGCAUAUAGUAGAAAUAUUUGUAAGUAAGAAAAAGCUACCUAUAGAUUUCAUCAUAGUGGAAAUAGCCAAAAAGAAGAAGAAUCUGCAUUAUUUUCUUAUCUUUUGUUACAUAAAUAGUUAUAUUUGAUUUACAUUUAUAAGUUUUAUAUGAAAGGGUGUUUCACUUGACAAUCUAGAGAUACUGAGAGUUAUUUACGGUAUAUUUCCAACAUAUCACUAGAGGUGCAAAUACGCACGAGACUUUGUGUUCACAAAUUAAAUUAAUCAUGUUCUACUGUAGAAUUCCAAUCAGUCACAUUUUCAUCUUCAAUUUUCUAAAUUUGAUAAACUAACAUAAUAAAUGUCAAAUAUUGAUUAGAAUAGCAUAAAUUCAUUUAAAAAAAUUAUAUUUAUUUAUAUGUUGUUACAAAAAGUUUAUCAGAUUAAUUUUAUACGAGAAAUCUUUAGUACUGUUGAUCCAAAUUAUUAUUAUAUACGGGAAAACC